rnacentral:lncRNA from 1 species
UCAACUCUGAUGCUCAAGUCUGACCAAUCCCUAGAUACUGCUGACCUAUUCAUAUAUUCAUAUUCUAUCACUGAUAUGGGAAGCUCUGUUUGAAACAUAAACUUAAAAAGGAAUCUCUAUAUAUGAACUAUCAGUGCUAUCAGACAAUGCUAACAUUAUGAACAUGAUGAGGAUAUAACCCUUGUUUUCUUAGAAAUGCCCACCCACAUUUAUGCUGUUUUUAGUUUAUUACUCUUGUCAAAGUUGCCAUGCAGAAUGUCUGUUGGUCAGUUGGGCACAUCUGCACACAUUUACAAUAUCUGCCACCUCUUUUAACCCUCAACCCCGCCCCACAAAAUGAGUGAUGGUGCUUGUUGAUUUGCAGAUUCACAGUCUGGUGAGACAAGUUUGAGAUCUCAUAUUUUCAGCUCAUCCUUGAAAACCUUUCUUCGAUUUGACUGACCUUGAUGGCUCCCUGGAAUCUCACCUACAUUUUAUGGGAAAUUCAACUCUCCAGAGAGAAGAGCUUUCAGAUAGCUGCGGGACUUGCAACUGUGACUUUCAGCUUUCGCUUUUGAAUGAGGCUCCAAAUGUCUCAAUGGUGGCACUAUUUCCAGAUUUGGGAGCCCUGCAAAGCUAAUCUGCUCAACCUUCACCUACUGGGUUCAAUGAAUAUGAAAAGCUGCCUUCCUGAAACUUUUCCUUCAAAGAGGGAAUGAUCUCCUGGAAUUCAAGCUUCUACAAGGUGGCUACCUGGUGUUUUCCACUUUUGCCGUCUCCUAAAAAGCAUCAUUCAAGCCUUGCCCUUUCAACCCACUGAACACAUAAACAUGCUUUCUCCUUAACUGAACUUAUGGCCACGAUGAACUUGAACUCUGAGAUUCACAGAGGAGAGUUUGUUUUAACAGCUGCUUUUACAAUGAAGCCCUGGAGUUACUACUCUCAAGACCCCUGGUUCUGAUAGGCCAUCUUUUCACUGUCCUCUGCAUUUUCUAAUGCCCAGCUGUCAAGGAACACCCACUGAAGUUUUCCAAAACAAAGGCACGAAACACAAGAAAGGCAAGAGAAUGCUAAUCACCAGAUGCAUGGGCAUCCUAUGGGGGAACCCCUUACAUGUGGAAUACGGUUUU